CUCCCUACGGGAGGCAGCAGUGGGGAAUAUUGCACAAUGGGGGAAACCCUGAUGCAGCGAUGCCGCGUGGAGGAAGAAGGUUUUCGGAUUGUAAACUCCUUUUAUCAGGGACGAUAAUGACGGUACCUGAAGAAAAAGCUCUGGCUAACUACGUGCCAGCAGCCGCGGUAAUACGUAGGGAGCGAGCGUUGUCCGGAAUUACUGGGUGUAAAGGGAGCGUAGGCGGGAUGUCAAGUCAGAAGUGAAAAUUAUGGGUUCAACUCAUAACCUGCUUUUGAAACUGAUAUUCUUGAGUGAAGUAGAGG
rnacentral:rRNA from 1 species